rnacentral:tRNA from 1 species
UCGGACAUAGUGUAAGGGUUAACACCGCCGUCUUUCAACCGGCAGAUCGAGGUUCGAGUCCUCGUGUCCGGA